rnacentral:rRNA from 1 species
AUUGAACGCUGGCGGCAUGCCUUACACAUGCAAGUCGAACGGCAGCACGGGAGCAAUCCUGGUGGCGAGUGGCGAACGGGUGAGUAAUAUAUCGGAACGUGCCCAGUCGUGGGGGAUAACGUAGCGAAAGCUACGCUAAUACCGCAUACGAUCUAUGGAUGAAAGCGGGGGAUCGCAAGACCUCGCGCGAUUGGAGCGGCCGAUAUCAGAUUAGGUAGUUGGUGGGGUAAAGGCCUACCAAGCCUGCGAUCUGUAGCUGGUCUGAGAGGACGACCAGCCACACUGGAACUGAGACACGGUCCAGACUCCUACGGGAGGCAGCAGUGGGGAAUUUUGGACAAUGGGCGCAAGCCUGAUCCAGCAAUGCCGCGUGCAGGAUGAAGGCCUUCGGGUUGUAAACUGCUUUUGUACGGAGCGAAAAGGCUCUCUCUAAUACAGGGGGCUCAUGACGGUACCGUAAGAAUAAGCACCGGCUAACUACGUGCCAGCAGCCGCGGUAA